AUUGAACGCUGGCGGCAGGCUUAACACAUGCAAGUCGAGCGGAGUGAUGGUGCUUGCACUAUCACUUAGCGGCGGACGGGUGAGUAAUGCUCAGGAAUCUGCCAUUUAGUGGGGGACAACAUUCCGAAAGGAAUGCUAAUACCGCAUACGUCCUACGGGAGAAAGCAGGGGAUCUUCGGACCUUGCGCUAAAUAAUGAGCCUAAGUCGGAUUGGCUAGUUGGUGGGGUAAAGGCCUACCAAGGCGACGAUCUGUAGCGGGUCUGAGAGGAUGAUCCGCCACACUGGGACUGAAACACGGCCCAGACUCCUACGGGAGGCAGCAGUGGGGAAUAUUGGACAAUGGGCGGAAGCCUGAUCCAGCCAUGCCGCGUGUGUGAAGAAGGCCUUUUGGUUGUAAAGCACUUUAAGCGAGGAGGAGGCUCUCCUAGUUAAUACCUAGGAAGAGUGGACGUUACUCGCAGAAUAAGCACCGGCUAACUCUGUGCCAGCAGCCGCGGUAAGAC
rnacentral:rRNA from 1 species